rnacentral:lncRNA from 1 species
UGUGGAGAAGUUGGGAUGCCAAAAGUUGACGUCCCUUGGAGAUUAUGUGGCGCCCCUUUGUUACCUAUUUAAAAGGGGCGCUAUACCUUGAUUCUAUGCCCAAUUUCUGGCUGAGAGUUGCAUGACGAUGUGAGGAAAAUGAGAGAAAAAAGUUUGGAUAAAGACAAGGAAAAAAGGAGAGAAAAAUGGAAAGGAAAGAGUAAAUGUCCAACUCUUGGACCAAGAGGA